UGUGGCUGGAUCACCUCCUUUCUAAGGAAGAUAUUGAGUAUUAUUAGAUUUAUUUAAUGAUCUGAAUAUUUUUUAAAGAUUAUUUGAUACAAUAUGGCUGCUAUUAUAGCGGUUUUAGAGGAUCGCCGUCCAAGUGUCUCUUUCUUUUCUAUGAUAUUUUGCGAUGAUGGGUUCAUUACUAUGUUUUUAUUUAGGGCCCGUAGCUCAGGCGGUUAGAGCGCACCCCUGAUAAGGGUGAGGUCGGUAGUUCAAGUCUACCUGGGCCCACCAUUUCAGUUUUAGGGGGCCGUAGCUCAGCUGGUAGAGCGCCUGCUUUGCAAGCAGGAUGUCAGCGGUUCGACUCCGCUCGGCUCCACCAUAUUCGCAUAUAUAGGGUUUUGUUCUAUUAUAUUAUUGGAGCAAUAGUUUUUUGAAAAUUGAAUAGAAGAUAUAUUUUUUUGUAUUUUUUAUGUUUGCAUUGUAUGCGACAUAUAGAUACCGACGUUGUUAACCGCACGUUGAAGAUUUAUCUCAGGAAGUUGGUCUAUCAAGGAAUCAUAAUGAUAUUUUUGUUAUGUUUUUUUGAUUAAUAAAGAGUUUGUAAGAGAACUUUGUGACGAUUGACAAUGAGAGU
rnacentral:tRNA from 1 species